rnacentral:rRNA from 1 species
GUAGGUGGCAAGCGUUGUCCGGGAAUUAUUGGGGCGUAAAGCGCGCGCAGGUGGUUCUUUAAGUCUGAUGUGAAAGCCCCCCGGGCUCAACCGGGGGAGGGGUCAUUGGAAACUGGGGAACUUGAGUGCAGGAGAGGAAAGUGGGAUUCCACGUGUAGCGGUGAAAUGCGUAGAUAUGUGGAGGAACACCAGUGGCGAAGGCGACUUUCUGGCCUGUAACUGACACUGAGGCGCGAAAGCGUGGGGAGCAAACAGGAUUAGAUACCCUGGUAGUCCACGCCGUAAACGAUGAGUGCUAAGUGUUGGGGGGUUUCCGCCCCUCAGUGCUGCAGCUAGCGCAUUAAGCACUCCGCCUGGGGAGUACGGUCGCAAAGACUGA